UGCUGCCCUAUUUCAUGUUGGUUUAUGGUGUUGGACUAACGUCCCGAACGUGCCUACUAAACGCACUAGAAGCGAGGAAGCGAGGACAAUUGCAUGAGGGGUCGAUAGUUAGAAUAUGAGAAUGUCCUCCCCUCUCCUCUGAUCACGGCCAGCAACUCCAGAUCUUUCUUAAAACUUUGACCCGAUAAUCUCCCUCUGAUUAAGCCCUGAGUGGCUUCCAAUUGCAAACCGAAUAGAACCUCGCUUUCUUCCCCUGGGUCGGGAGUGUGAAGGGUUCCGGCCUUCACCCCUCCCUUCCACCUAGCUCCUCCCCGCCCGCUCAAGGCGCCCGACCGCGCGGUGUAGACCGAGGAAACAGAAGCUUUGCACUCCGCGGGCUGCUCCUGCCUCCCUCCGGGGGCCAGCUUCUCCCUGAGCUUGGCUGAUGUGAGUGCAUUGAAGAGCUUUGAACUACUGGACAUGGAACAGAUAAGAGGGAGAGGCAGGAUUUGAAGCCAAUAUUCAAAAGAUGAAGUUUGGAUGAAGAGCAACACAAGAGGAUCUUUCCAUCAUCUCCCUCCUAGCCUGACUCCCAAGGGCCUCCAACAAAUCAUCGUGUGUUCUGGAAAUGCAAAACCACUGGAAUAAUCACCAUACCGAGAUGAAAUGAGAAAGUGUCAAUGCAAUGCAGGCACACCAUAAGCCUCCCAAUAAAUGAGGAUUCAACGAAUAAAGACCUACUCACAUGCAACCAAGUUAUGAGUCUAACUGUUAAACGUCAUUGGAAAGUAACCAGAAACCCCUUGAUUCAAAAUUUCCAGAGAUUAUCAAGUUCAAGAUGAAUAAAGAGAACAUGAAAUCUGUUUAAUGUGCUGAAUCUUAUAUACUAAUUGUUUACAUUUCGAAAAAUUACUUGUCACCAUUGAAUAUCUGCCAAAAAAUAAUACAACAAUUGUAGAAAUGAUGGAGAAGUGUGAGUAGACUGCAAAUCCCCAUCCAUAUUUGCACUUAAUAUUAGCUCUUUCUUCAGUGAAAACGGUCAUCAGGAGACUCUUCAUUGUUCAUUCUUAGUGUGAAUUGGGAGGGAGAAGGGGGCGUUAAAAUAUCUGUAAAAUAGGUUGAAGAGACCGAAAGCUAUCACGCAAGAACAUGGUGUAACUACGGUCUGAAUAAAAGCGACCAUUGUCCUUUUAUUCAUUUUUAAAGUUUUUUAUUUAAUUUCGAAUUUAUUUUAUUAUUUAUAUAUGCAUAGGUUUUAAGUGCUCAAUCCAAUGACAUUUGACAAAAGCAUACAGCAAUAUGACCACCACCUCAAUCAAGCUAUGGAACAAUUCAGUUAUCACUCACACUUUCUCAUGCCUCUUUCUAGUCAGCUGCCCAAUUGUUUUGAAUUCUGUCACCAUAACUUAGUUUUGCUUGUUUUAGAGCAUCAUGUAGAUGUAAUUAUAUGGGGGACAUACUUCUUUUGCUUGUCACAUUAUUUUUGAGCUAUACAGUAUUCAAGAUUUUGCUCCUAUCAGUAGCUUGUUCCUCUUUAUGGCCGUGUUCACACUCCAUUGUGUGAGUACAUCACAACUAUUUAUCCAUUCACCUGCUGAUGGAUGUUUGGGUUGUUUCUAGCUGUUUACUAUUAUUAAGUAAGCCAUGAACAUUUUAACAUAAUUUUUUGAACACGUUUUUAUUACUAUUGACUAAAUAUCCAAGAGUAGCACUGCUGGGUCAUUAUAAUACUUGUAUCUUUAACUUGAGGAGAAACUGCCAAUAUCUUCACUUUUGAUGUAGUUGUCAAUGGACCUGCAUCUACUCCCUUCAGCAUAAAAAGAUUAAAGGAUAUAAUUAAUACUAUUCAAUGCAAAGUAUAAUGUGAGGUUGUUUAGAAUUUUAAUUGUGAUUUUCUUCUGUCUGUAGAUGUAGAAAUUUUCUCUCUGGUGUUUUGACAGAAUGGUCCCCCUCUUAUUCCAUAUCAACAGAUUACCACUUUUAUUUCGGGUUUAGGUAAAUGUGGACUUGUUUUUUGGGAUUUUGGUUGUUAGAGAAAAUAAGGGAAAAAACAUAAACACAAAUUAUGAAUCAAAUUGAGAUGAAUAAUAUAGAAGAGGCUACCUGUUAUUUUGUCAAAUGUAUAUCUCUUUUUACAUUAAUGAAAAUUCUAUGUAAUCAAGCUAUGUAGAUGGCAAUAAUUUUGGUCAUUAAGAUCGGUAGUCAGCAACAAAUAAGCACAUUUUACUAUUAAUCCUCGUUACUCACUUUUAAC